ensembl:lncRNA
CUGGGGCAGAUGAGAGCUGAGACGCAGAGCCCUUCUGAGAAGCAGCACAGGCUAGCUGGGAACCAGGAAUUUCCUUGACGAAACAGACCAGAGGGAAGCCUUGGGAUCUUGGGGCAGUGACGAGGAAAACCUCAGGGUUGGAGGAAGGAGGGGCCUAGAGGCUGCUAUUAAAAGAAUAAGGAAAAUGCUCUGUAGAGUUAGUAAAAGAUUAACACAGUUCCCCCCAAUGUCGUAAGAUCCCAGAGCAUUGCCAAAUACCCUUGGCAUCUCGUGGGAUGAAGUAUGAAGAGAGGUGGGAAGUUGGGGGACAGGGGUCAGGAAAAUGAAGAUCCCACAUCUGAAAGGGGCGAAAGGGUUACUGUUUUGUGAAGUUGAACCCAAGCAUUGCAGGCCUGAAGGAAUGGGAAGAGCUAAGGGCCGGGGAGCCAGCCUGCAGCGGAGGGAAGUGUGCACUUACACUGAUUUAUUGCAGGAGCAAGGAAGGCUUGAAAUGUGCUUCUGGCCACAAGACAAGACAGAUGCCCCUCUGCCAUGUGCCACUAUGCCUUGGAGCCAGCCAAGAUUGAAACUUCUAUGAAUCGGAUCGAACUUGGGUCCUUGUGCUUGUGGGGCCACUGAGCUAAAUUCCUGGCCACUCAUUCCUUUAUUAACCAAUGCUGUCUACUCAUGAACCAUCACAGAGUCACAUGAGGAAGAAUGCAGAGGAUCUGUCUGAACACUGGAGUCCAAAGGAUUUAGCUGAAGGUCUGCAGUGUCCUUCAACUCACUGCAGUGUCCUGUACAAGUCCAUAUCAGGAGGCCAAUGGGUCUGCAAUGGAAGGCUGAUGAAUCUAUGCUGGAAGGCUGAAGGAUCCUAGCCAGAAGCUGAAGAGACUGCCCAGGAAGCCAGGAGAUGACAUCCAAGGUGAAGGCAAAGACUGGAGCUCCUCUGAAGAAAUAGAAGCACAAGUCUCCUUCCUCCUUCCUCAUUUCCCCUUGAUACCAUCCAGGCAACAAGCUGCCCUAGGGUGCAGAAUUGCUGAGCUGAUUUAGUUAAACUUCUCUUAACUAAACUUCUCAAGCUGACACAAUCAGUCAUCACAGUUGGCUCUACUGACCAUCUUCCAAACCACUUGGCUAUACUGCCUGGCCCAGUGUACAGAGGACCCAGAUAUGACUUAUCAGUUUAGUCCUCCCACACCUGUCCUUUGCUGUCACAGCAACAGAACAACUGGCUGGGAUAUAAAACAGUUACCACUUUCUAACAGGACUUGUCUGUAGCUGUAAUUGCAUCACAAAUGAGCUCCAUGGUUAUUGUCCUCACCCAAGCAGUCCUCACACAUCUGCAAAGCCUCGGGUGAACAAGAUGUGGUUAAAAGGUAGGGUAAAAUUUAUUACAGCAAAAGACACAUUGCCGGGCUGGGGAUUUAUCUCAGUGGUUCUGCCGCCUGCCUCACAAAUGCAAGGUCCCGAGUUCGAUCCCUGGUACCAAAAAAAAAAAAUGCCAUUAAUCCCUCUUGAAAUACUUCCCCUCAUUUUGAACACACUUAUUCCAUUGUUCUUGCCACUUUCUAAGCAGUUCUGGAAGUCCUCUUUCAUAAGUGUCAUAACAAGAUGUCAUCGAAAAUACAGUGGGUGCUGCUGCUGAGUGACACCUGAUGAGAAGGCAGUCUCAUGAAAACAGUACGGUGUGUCCUUAUCCACUUUAUUCACCCGACCUGGCCCUAUGGGGCUUCUGAAUCUUCCUCAAAGUAAAAAUUACUGUGACAAGUAAAUGUUUUGAAUCGAGUGAAGACAUCAAGGCAGCCUUGAUAACACAACUAAAGACACAAAAGAGGACUUCCAGAACUGCUUCAGAAAGUGGAAAAAAUGAUGAGAUGAGUGUGUUCAAAGCAAGAGAGUAUUUUAAGGGAGAUUAAUGGCAGUGUGUUUUUUUACCGUCAAAGUCUUUUUUAAAGUUACAUAUCAUCCUAGUUUUCAAUCACACCUUAUAUGUUGAAGAUAUAACAAGGAGGAAGGAGCUCCAUUUUAGUCCUUUCCACAUUUGAGAUCCAGGGAGAAAAGGGCAAAACUUGUAACACUGAUAAAAAAGCAAGGACGUGUUCCCAACCUCUGCCCCAGAUCACUUCUUUCUCAUUUUUCAGCUGUCAAGACUUGGGCCACAGGGCAGUUUUCCUACUGUGGGCUUGUGAGUCUGGGUCUAUCCCAAAGGCCUUGCAAAUCUCUAUGUGGAGCACACCAGAAGCACAGUGCUUGAAAGUUACUCUUUGACUUGCACUAUGGAGCUGAGACAAGGGAUUAGUAGUCUGGCUCAACAAGUCAGUCUAGAGGAGCCUCUAGCUUAAAGCCAUCUCCUCUGAGGAUUCUGAAGGUUUCCUAGAGCACUGUUCCUCAUACCUUAAUAUGCAUAGAAAUACUUGGGAAUCUCAUUAAAAUGGAAAUCGUGGUUCAAUAAGUCAAGGUGAGUCUAAAUUCUGCCUUUCUAUCAAGCUCCUAGGGGAUGCUAAUGCUGUGGUCCAUGAACAACACUUUAGCAUCAAAGGACUGGACUAGCUGAAUUUGUUCCAUGCACUUAGCUGUUUUAGAGAUUGAGGCUCCAGGUGUAGAAACAGCCUUAGGGUUCAGAUUUGAAGGUGUUAGUAGCAGUGAUGGUGGCGCAGGCGAUGGCGCUGACAAUGGCAGCAGUGGCUCUAGUGUGGCAAGAACGGCAGUGCUAAUGCUGCUGAAGUUGGUGGUUAUAGUAUUGGUGGAGAUGCUGGUGGGAGGGGAUGUGGUGGAGGUAAAAGUGGUAAUGAUGGUAGUGGCUGGGUGUGUGGAUUGGGACGAUGCGGGAGCUGGGGGUGGUAAUCACAGCGGGAUUGAUGGAGGUGGUGGUCAUGGUGCUGGGUGAAGAUGAGGAUGGUGACUGAACUGUGCUGGUGGUGAUGACUGGGUUAGUAGUGAGGAGAUGGGUGGCGGCGCUGGUGGCAGUGGUGAUGGCAGUGAGAGUGACAGCGGAAGCAGGGGUUGUUAUGGUGAUCGUGAUGGUGUGAGGGCAGUGGUGGUGAUGGAGAGGGCCACAGGGGUGGUGCUCAUUAGCAUCACACCAUGUACAGCUCGUGUUAUUCAAAGCACUUUUUCACAUAUCUUCUAAGAGAACAGGAUUCUGAGUCAGAAGAAUGAGUUUGCGAUACAAUUCACCAUCUGCUAGUUGUAUGGUAUUUGGCAAUCAUAUCCUCCCUUGCACUCCAUUUGCUACCUCUAUUAUUAUCAGAAGGGAUAAUAAUAUCUCUCAGGGUUGCUCUUAGGCUCACAUGAGCUGCUACUUAGAAAAGUUAGGAUACUACAAAUACACAAGGUUUUCCGAUUCUCAUCUUCUUGAUCAG